GUUUUAUGAUAUUUAAAGGACUUU
rnacentral:snRNA from 1 species